UACGUAGGGCGCAAGCGUUAUCCGGAAUUAUUGGGCGUAAAGAGCUCGUAGGCGGUUUGUCGCGUCUGCCGUGAAAGUCCGGGGCUCAACUCCGGAUCUGCGGUGGGUACGGGCAGACUAGAGUGAUGUAGGGGAGACUGGAAUUCCUGGUGUAGCGGUGAAAUGCGCAGAUAUCAGGAGGAACACCGGUGGCGAAGGCGGGUCUCUGGGCAGUAACUGACGCUGAGGUGCGAAAGCUAGGGGAGCGAACGGG
rnacentral:rRNA from 1 species